UAUGGACCAAAGCGUUUAUCGAGAAUUCCUGGUGUUAAAGGGAGGCUAGACGGCAGACAAAGUCUGAUGUGGAAAGCCCGGGGCUCCACCCCCGUUAGUGCAUUGGAAACUGUUCAGCUUUGAGUGUCGGAGGGGUAGGCCGAAUUCCUAGUGUAGCCGGUAAAAUGCGUAGAUAUUAGGAGGGACCCCGGAGGCGAAGGCGGCUUACUGGACGACCACUGACGUUGAGGCUCGAAGGCGUGGGGAGCAAACAGG
rnacentral:rRNA from 1 species